UCUCCACUAAAAACACUUGCCUCAACAG
rnacentral:sRNA from 1 species